UUUGAGCCUUCCCUGCAUGAAUUCUUGUCCUCUCAUGGCCCUGUGCAUCCUACUUAGCAGCAAGAUCUCGGGACUCCAGCCAGGCCCCCAGGGCCUUGCAUUUGUUCAAUACUGACUUGUCCAUCAUGUGCACGGAAGGUGCUCAGUACGUGAAAAGGAAACUGUAUUCUAACAAACGUGCAUUGGCUGAGCAUAUACGUGCCCCGGGAGCUGGAUAUGGAAAGAUGGCAGCUAUGCGUGUUUGUGAAAAGAUACUGCCCACGAGAAGCUGAGUGAAGGGCAGAGUGAAGAGAAUGCACCCACUGCAUUGUUGGUUCAUGAGGGCGAGAGUCGCAUUUGGCUUUGGGAAACCAAGGAAGAACAAAGCACCCAUGGGUCCUCGAAGGGACACAAUGUCAUAAUCUGCUCAGCGUAGGGACUGAUCUAACUGGGGCAACAGGGAGUAAAGAAAAGGCAGACAGACAGACACAGGCGCAGGAAAGCUGGGGUCAAGUGGGUCAUGCACGCUGAUGGAGAUGCACCAGCUACAGGCGGGAACUCAGCCGUUUCACUCAUCUGAAUGGAGGAGCUGCUGGGUCUGGAGAGAGCUGGAACCAGAUCCUUCACAGACUUUCUUCACCCGAGUUAACCCUCUGUCUUCCAUCACCAUCCUGCCUGCUCCAUGGGAAAGGGCCUUAAUGCCCUUGGCGUUUCGAUGCUCUUUUCCAGAGCACAGGGCAUAAACCACAGGUCAAGUGAGACGUAGCUGUUUACUGUUGGGUAAUAAAUGUGACAAUACUUGGUGGUUUAAAGCAGCACUGUCAGGAGCAAAUUAAAAUAUCUAAUCAGAAAAUAUUAAUGAAAUAUAAUUAAUGGAAAAUAUUAAUGGAAUAAAAUUCCGUUUUGUAAAUGCA